rnacentral:rRNA from 1 species
UACGGGGGGGGUAAGCGUUGUUCGGAAUUACUGGGCGUAAAGGGCUCGUAGGCGGCCAACUAAGUCAGACGUGAAAUCCCUCAGCUUAACUGGGGAACUGCGUCUGAUACUGGAUGGCUUGGAUUCGGGAGAGGAAUGCGGAAUUCCAGGUGUAGCGGUGAAAUGCGUAGAUAUUCGCAAGAACACCAGUGGCGAAGGCGGCUCACUGGCCCGAUACUGACGCUGAGGCACGAAAGCGUGGGGAGCAAACAGGG